GUUCAUAGUAGGCGCUGCAGUUCUCCUUGUCCGCGUCCACCACCGCUACAUCGAAGGUUCCGGCCUCGCCCGCCGCCAGGAGCUCAUCUUGCGGGACAGAGCAGUGCCAGUGCCUUUCCUCACAACGAAGGGAGCGAGUGUCACCUCCGGAUCUGCUGCCGGACCUUGUCAGUGGUCCUGCUAACAUCACAGGCUUGAUCUCUCUUCAGAGCCCCACCCCCACCCCUGGGACUAGACAGGCCUGAGCAUAAGAUGAAGACAGAAGAUUAAAUUGAGCUGAAAAGCUGGGAACUUGAGUGUCUCCAGAAGCCAGGCAGUCGGUGAGCCUGCACACAGCUUUGCACCGUGUCUGAUCCGGUUCACGGGCUCCUACUCAUUCCUGGAACAGAGCGGUGAUGUGAAGACGUGACGUGGAUCCUUCAGGGUGGAGAGGGCCUCUGCGACCCUGUGCCCAUCCCUGUGUGGCCCCCAGGAACCCUCUUCUUCCCUUUGGACCCUGUGGGGUCCAUUCCAUAUUUGGUUAGCUUCUCUUUCUCCUGGACUUUCGAGACACCUUUGGAUGGAGUUCCGGUGCUUUCCGGUCUCUGUCUCUCAUAUAGAGAAACUUGCAGUCUGAUCCCAUAACAUCUGGGUCACAUCUGCUAGACUCAAGAGGCAGCACCUCUUGAGAUUUUGGGAGGCCAGGCUGAGACUCUGAGGACCCUAAAGGCAAUUCAAGUGAGUGGGUUGAGGCAAAGAGACCACAAAGCUGGGGUUUCUGGGUCCUUCAAACUGGCCGUGGCAGGGCGCCGGGUUACUGGACUCACAGACUGGGUAACUUCUGUGCUUACUAGCAAAGGUCAAAACGCCCCAGUUUCCUUAUUUGAGAGGCCAGACAAGAAAGCAACAACAUGGGCUCUAGGGUUAGACGGACGAGGGUUCAAAUGUGGGAUGCACUGCUGAUCUCUCUCUGGGUGAGGUCAGAAUCUCAGUUGGAUAAAACAGGAUCGUUAUGUUCUGGAUCUUAGAGGUUUGGUGGCUGGUGUGUGUGGAUAUUGGUAGUGGAGCAGCCUAGUUAGAGGAAGCAGGGUCACUGGGGGGUGUGACCGUGAAGGGAAUAUUGAGACCCCACCUUUCCUCUGUAACUGCUUCCCAGUCUUCAUGAAACAAAGAGCCUUAUGGCAAUUCGCCUUGCCACCAUGAGGUACUGGGCCACCACUGGGCCACCGUAUACACACAGUAACUGGCUGGAUGCCUAUGAAGCCAAAACUGAAAUUAUGAGCCUAAUA